ACUCAAAGGAAUUGACGGGGACCCACACAAGCAGUGGAUCAUGUGGUUUAAUUCGACACUAAACGAGGAACCUCACCUAGGCUUGACAUCCCGAGAAGUCCGUGGAAACAUGGAUGUGCCCGCAAGGGAAUUCGGAGACAGGUGCUGCAUGGUUGUCGUCAGCUCGUGCCUUGAGGUGUUCGGUUAAGUCCGUUAACGAGCGCAACCCAUGUCGUUAGUUAUUAUGUCUAACGAGACUGCCUGAGUUAAUCAGGAGGAAGGUGUGGAUGACGUCAAAUCAGCAUGGCCCUUAUGCCUAGGGCUACACACAUGAUACAAUGGUCGGUACAAAGAGUAGCGAAACAGUAAUGUCGAGCCAAUCUCAAAAAGCCGAUCUCAGUCCGGAUUGAGGGCUGCAACUCGCCCUCAUGAAGUUGGAAUUGCUAGUAAUCGUGAAUCAGCUAUGUCACGGUGAAUAUGUUCCUGGGUCUUGUACACACCGCCCGU
rnacentral:rRNA from 1 species